GCAGUUAUGUGUAAAUGAAAAAAAAUGUUUUUUCUAAUUUUGUCAUCUAUGUGUGCGCUUCUAUUAAAAAUGGUAUCUUUGACUCUUGACAGGUCCUUUACACGCUUGGUGGUUUGGAAAAUCUUCACACAGCUAAGAAAUAUUAUGCCUCUGCUUUGGACUUGACUGGCGGGAAGAACACCAGAGCCAUCUUUGGUGUUUGCUUGUGCUCCUCUUCCAUUGGACAACUAUCGAAAGGACGAAACAAAGAGGAAAAAGAGAGACAGGAGUUGCAAGAUUUAGCAGUGGCUUCCUUGGAGAAAGCCUACAAGAACAAGGCAACCGAUAUGUACUGUUUACUUGUCUCAACCUUAAAAAGCUUAAAGCUGUCAUCAUCAUCCUAACUGAAUUCAAUCGAUAACUUAUUAUGACCUACCUGGUAUCCAAAUUGGCGAGCCUUUAUUGUCUUCUUUCUGAUUUAGUCUGAUUCCGAACUGCUAUUUAAGCAUGUUUUGUUUUGAUUUUUGUGUUGUGUCAAUCAUUAUUUAUUGUUAGCUCGAUGACCAAUGUAUUUUUAUAGUUAGUUUUCAUGAAAUUAGUAUAUUAUUUUUAUCUGCUUGAAUAAUUACUUUCUCAGACGUUUCAGAUCAA